AUGAAUAGACCUGUGAGCUACCCAGCAUUGGGAUUUUUGUUGCAGCAUUUGGAGCCGAAUUUGAGAUUCCAACUCUGCACUAGAUGCCCUUCCAUUCAGAACCUGGAAAAGUCGGUACCCCUGCACAUCAGGUACCUGAAACUUACUGACCAUCGUAUAAUAAUAAACGGGUCUACCUAUUUAUUAUCUGUUUUUGACCAAGAAUUUGACGUCGAACAAUAUGAUAUUCAAGAUGCCAGAGAAAUGGAGCAAGAUCCAAAUGAAGUAAGGCUUGACGUGCGAGUUGCUCCAACUAGACUCAGAUUCAAUGUGAAUAACGAUCCUGUCAGACGUGAAGGGGAACUUGUAAUAUGGCUCCUAGAUUUGUGGUACCCAAAAGUCUUAAGGCGCUGGAUGAGACGUGAAAGAGAGCCCGGAACUCAGUACACGUUUCAGACUGAACAGGAAGAGAUAGAUCAGGCUAUGGUGAAUAUUAGGAGAGCUUAUUGGAGCAGGGUUCAGUGAGUUUUUUUUUUGAAACUUUUUGUUUAAAUUUUAAAGUUAAUUCUCACUUAGACAAGCAGGAAACAAUCGGAUCACAUUAAACUUGAACGGGACCUCCAAAGUGGUAAUCAAGAAGUUUCAAAAUGGAAAUUCGUGGAUUUUGAAAAUGAAAGUGGAAAGCCGAUGAAUAAACUGAUAUUUUUAAUUCUUUUUUUUUGAGUAAUGAAUAUACAUAUG
rnacentral:misc_RNA from 1 species